GCACCAGACUCCUACGGGAGGCAGCAGUGGGGAAUAUUGCACAAUGGGGGGAACCCUGAUGCAGCGACGCCGCGUGGGUGAAGAAGUCAUUCGUGACGUAAAGCCCUAUCAGCAGGGAAGAAAAUGACGGUACCUGACUAAGAAGCCCCGGCUAACUACGUGCCAGCAGCCGCGGUAAUACGUAGGGGGCAAGCGUUAUCCGGAUUUACUGGGUGUAAAGGGAGCGUAGACGGCAUGGCAAGUCAGAUGUGAAAGCCCGGGGCUCAACCCCGGGACUGCAUUUGAAACUGUCAGGCUGGAGUGCAGGAGAGGUAAGUGGAAUUCCUAGUGUAGCGGUGAAAUGCGUAGAUAUUAGGAGGAACACCAGUGGCGAAGGCGGCCUGCUGGGCUUUUACUGACGCUGAGGCUCGAAAGUGUGGGGAGCAAACAGGAUUAGAUACCCUCGUA
rnacentral:rRNA from 1 species